rnacentral:rRNA from 1 species
UAAUACGGGGGGUGCAAACGUUGUUCGGAAUCACUGGGCGUAAAGAGCGCGUAGGCGGUCGGGUAAGUGGGGUGUGAAAUCCAUCGGCUCAACCGGUGAACUGCAUUCUAUACUACCCGGCUUGAGGGCAGCAGAGGAGACGGGAAUUCUCGGUGUAGCGGUGAAAUGCGUAGAUAUCGAGAGGAACACCAGUGGCGAAGGCGCGUCUCUGGGCUGCUCCUGACGCUGAGGCGCGAAAGCUAGGGGAGCGAACAGGAUUAGAUACCCUGGUAGUCCUAGCCGUAAACGGUGGGCACUAGGUGUAGGAGGUAUCGACCCCUCCUGUGCCGCAGCUAACGCAUUAAGUGCCCCGCCUGGGGAGUACGGCCGCAAGGUUG